rnacentral:rRNA from 1 species
CCUACGGGAGGCAGCAGUAAGGAAUAUUGGUCAAUGGACGCAAGUCUGAACCAGCCAUGCCGCGUGCAGGAUGACGGCCCUCUGGGUUGUAAACUGCUUUUAUACGGGAAGAAACCUCUGGUUGCGAUCAGAGCUGACGGUACCGUAAGAAUAAGGACCGGCUAACUUCGUGCCAGCAGCCGCGGUAAUACGAAGGGUCCAAGCGUUAUCCGGAUUUAUUGGGUUUAAAGGGUGCGUAGGCGGCUUAUUAAGUCAGUGGUGAAAGACUUCAGCUUAACUGAAGAACUGCCAUUGAUACUGAUGAGCUUGAAUAUACUUGAGGUGGGCGGAAUGUGUCAUGUAGCGGUGAAAUGCUUAGAUAUGACACAGAACACCGAUUGCGAAAGGCAGCUCGCUAAAGUAUGAUUGACGCUGAUGCACGAAAGACGUAGGGAGGACGAAACAAGGAAGUUAAGUAAUAACCCUACGGUAGGUACCGACCGACCCGUAACCGUUAACGUAGUAACUAACGUACUAGUGUGUCGGAGUAAUAACUAACGUAACGGUACCGGUACCCGUAACCGAACGAAACGGAAACGAAACGUUAAAGUUUAAAGUUUAACCGUUACCCGUUACCGGUUAAACGGGUAAACGGGUUACGGGUUACCGAACGAAGUUAGUUAAAC